rnacentral:rRNA from 1 species
GAUGAACGCUGGCGGCGUGCUUAACACAUGCAAGUCGAACGGGAAACCUUUUAAUGAAGCUUCGGCAGAUUUAGCUGGUUUCUAGUGGCGGACGGGUGAGUAACGCGUGGGUAACCUGCCUUAUACAGGGGGAUAACAGUCAGAAAUGACUGCUAAUACCGCAUAAGCGCACAGGACCGCAUGGUCCGGUGUGAAAAACUCCGGUGGUAUAAGAUGGACCCGCGUUGGAUUAGCUUGUUGGUGGGGUAACGGCUCACCAAGGCGACGAUCCAUAGCCGGCCUGAGAGGGUGAACGGCCACAUUGGGACUGAGACACGGCCCAGACUCCGACGGGAGGCAGCAGUGGGGAAUAUUGCACAAUGGGGGAAACCCUGAUGCAGCGACGCCGCGUGAAGGAAGAAGUAUCUCGGUAUGUAAACUUCUAUCAGCAGGGAAGAUAGUGACGGUACCGGACUAAGAAGCCCCGGCUAACUACGU